GCCGGCGUAGCUCAGUGGUAGAGCGAGGGUCUCAUAAUCCCUAGGCCGUGGGUUCGAUUCCCCCCGCCGGCA
rfam:Acidobacteria bacterium 13_1_40CM_56_16 13_1_40cm_scaffold_11853, whole genome shotgun sequence.